rnacentral:rRNA from 1 species
CACGGGGGGAGCAAGCGUUGUUCGGAAUCACUGGGCGUACAGGGCGUGUAGGCGGUUCGGUAAGUGGAAUGUGAAAUCCCUCGGCUCACCCGAGGACCUGCAUCCCAAACUGCCGAGCUUGAGUAUGGGAGAGGAUGAGGGAAUUCCUGGUGUAGCGGUGAAAUGCGUAGAUAUCAGGAGGAACACCGGUGGCGAAGGCGCUCAUCUGGCCCAAUACUGACGCUGAGGCGCGAAAGCUAGGGGAGCAAACGGG